UACGGGGGGGGCAAGCGUUGUUCGGAAUUACUGGGCGUAAAGGGCGCGUAGGCGGUUCGCUAAGUUGAACGUGAAAACUCUGGGCUUAACCCAGAGCCUGCAUUCAAUACUGGCGAGCUAGAGUUCUGGAGGGGAUAGCGGAAUUCCUGGUGUAGCGGUGAAAUGCGUAGAUAUCUGGAGGAACACCGGUGGCGAAGGCGGCAUCCUGGACCAACACUGACACUGAGGAGCGAAAGCCAGGGGAGCAAGCGGG
rnacentral:rRNA from 1 species